rfam:Pseudozyma antarctica DNA, scaffold: scaffold_v10020, strain JCM 10317, whole genome shotgun sequence.
GCUUUCGUGGCCUAGUUGGUUAGGGCGUAGGUCUCAUACGUAUUCACCAACGAUCCUGCUUGCAGGAACACACCUACGAACGUAACGUUCAGAUAUCCUAAGAUCGCGAGUUCGACUCUCGCCGAGAGCA